rnacentral:lncRNA from 1 species
UAGAGUUUGGGUUCAAUUCGUUUACUUAUAGUUCAUGAUAAUCAUAUGGGAGAUGAACAAGAUAAUCGUGUUGAGAAUGCUAGUAAUGAUGCUCCUAUAGUUGAUGAUAUUAAACUAACUAAAAAAUAUCUCUAACUAAGAAACAUCUCUACCACUAGUUGAGAUUCUAUUGAGAAGAAACAAAUCUUCGACUCCAUACUUCGUCCAAACACCAUAAACAAAUUUCUCAACAAGUGAGAAACAAGUCUAGGUUCAAGUUCCGCCCUCCUCUCAGCUCCUUCAACCCUUCCUCCUACGCUUCUAAUCAUUUCUUUGAGCAAAUCAGUCUCUGAAUAGUUCUUCGUGACGCACAACCAUGCUCGAAUCGGAUAGUUUUGUAUGAUCCUUUCAUCAUUGAAUACUUUACGCGCUAGAGUGGUCUUCCCAAUCCCACCCAUCCCGACAAUCCCAAAAACAACACACGUUGGAUUCUCACUGAUCUCUAUUAUGGAUUUGAUCAGAUUUUGGGCAGGGCCUAUGAUUUGGGUUCCUAUGAUAUCUGCCUUAACCUCUAUGGAAGAUGUCUCACGAGAUCUUACCGGGUGAAUUGGGAUGUCUUUUUCAGCGAUCUCUACAUCAGGUAUUAUAGAUCUAUCUUCCGUGAGCUCUUUCAGUGUUGCUUACCGGGUGAUUUGAUAGCGGUGUUUGAUAGAUCCAAAGUAAGAAGAACUUCGCGAGCUGGAAGGAUUGCUUACCGCAAAAGUCGUCGAUGCCCGGCUCUUCAGCAAGCUGCCACCUUCGAUGACGCAAAGAUCGAUGAUAUCAUCGGCGUCGUACUUGACAUGCCUCCUUCAACUCCCUCACCCUGGUGUCCAUUGCUGGAUCUACAUGCCUCCUUUGCUCUGCAGUGCGAAGAAAGCCUUUGAUCCUCGUCAACCUUCUCUCGAGCAUUUCGACCUCCGCCCUCACGCAUAGCACUUUGCAUAUCUCUCCCUCCGCAAAGUUGGCUAUCUUUUGGAGGAACCUUUCUACGAAAAACUCUAACACCAUUGCCAUCUCGUAACACGGCUCAAGAAGAUCCAAGUGAGUGUCUACAAAUUGAAGGUCUGUUUCCUCUGAUACGAUCUACGUCGAGCAUAAAUAUGUUCCGGAAUCAAGGCCCGAUUUCCGAUAAGGGAGGAGUCUUCGACAGCAUGCAUGUGCCCAUUGGUCCAAUUGCCAGCUUCUUCAACACUCUACAUGUCAUGAAAUAAAUAAUCUGCCUUAUUUUCUUAUGAUUUGUCGGUCUUUGUUUAUUAUGUGAUGAAAUAAAUAGUCUGCAUGUGACUCGUGUGGCAACAUUAUAUUAUAUAUAUAGAAACUCA